rnacentral:rRNA from 1 species
AGAGAGAGACAUGCGCGCAUAUCAAUAAGCGGAGGAAAAGAAACUAACAAGGAUUCCCUUAGUAACGGCGAGUGAAGCGGGAAGAGCUCAAAUUUGAAAUCUUCAAGGUUUUACCUUGACGAAUUGUAGUUUAAAGAAGUGUUUUUCUGCUGAAGUUUUGGUAAAAGUUCUUUGGAAUAGGACAUCAUAGAGGGUGAGAAUCCCGUAUUUGACCAUUAUUUUCAGCUUUGUGAUACACUUUCAAAGAGUCGGAUUGUUUGGGAAUGCAGUCCAAAAUGGGUGGUAAAUUUCAUCUAAAGCUAAAUAUUGGCGAGAGACCGAUAGCGAACAAGUACCGUGAGGGAAAGAUGAAAAGAACUUUGAAAAGAGAGUUAAACAGUACGUGUAAUUGUCAAAAGGGAAGCGUUUGACACCAGUGUUGUUUUUCCUCGAAAAUCAAUUAAAAAUGGCUCGAUUUUGUAUUGUUGAGACCUUAAAAGCUCACUGUACAUUUUUCGUGUCUUUUUUAAUGCACUUUUCGUUUAACAAGUCAACAUCAGUUUCUUUUGUUGUAAAAGGGUCAUUGGAAGGUGGCUUUCUUUUCGGAGAAAGUGUUUAUAGCCUUUGGCCUCUGCAAUCGGAGAGACUGAGGUCUGCAGCGUAGACUCUUCGGGGUUAGAUACAUUUGUGCUAAGUUAUAGCUUUUUAUAGACAACUUGUUGACUAUAAUUAGUCUUGUAGCUUACUCGCUUAUGCUACUUUUACCUACGCUUAGGAUGUUGAAGUCAUCGUAUCGCGC